GUCGGUGCUUAGGUCGCGUGUGUUGACCCGUUCCCAUCUCGCACACGGUCGUCCCCCACGCGGCCGCUGGUGGUACUGGAUCCGUCGGGAUCUGGGAGGCCCAGUGGUGCCGACA
rnacentral:rRNA from 1 species